rnacentral:rRNA from 1 species
GAUGAACGCUGGCGGCGUGCCUAAUACAUGCAAGUCGAGCGGACGGACGCGACGCUUGCUUCUCUGUUGUUAGCGGAGGACGGGUGAGUAACGCGUGGAUAACCUACCUAUAAGACUGGGAUCACUUCGGGAAACCGGAGCUAAUACCGGAUAAUCUUUUGAAGCGCAUGGUUCAAAAGUAAAAGACGGUCUUGCUGUCACUUAUAGAUGGAUCCGAGCUGCAUUAGCUAGUUGGUAAGGUAACGGGUUACCAAGGCUACGAUGCAUAGACGAACGCAGAGGGUGAUCGGCCACACUAGAAGUGAGACGCGCACCAGAGUACUACGAGACGCAGCAGAAGGGAAUCGGCCGCAACGGGCGAAAGCCUUACGGAGCGACGCCGCGCCAGAGAUGAAGGUCUUCGGAUCGGAAAACUCGGUUAUUAGUGAAGAACAUAUGUGGAAGGAAACGAAGACAGCGUGACGGUACUGAAUCAGAAAGCCACGGCUAACUACGUG